rnacentral:rRNA from 1 species
AUACGGAGGGUGCAAGCGUUACUCGGAAUCACUGGGCGUAAAGCGCGCGCAGGCGACUAUUUAAGUUGGAUGUGAAAGCCUACGGCUCAACCGUAGAACUGCAUCCAAAACUAUUUAGCUAGAGUGUGGGAGAGGAAGAUGGAAUUAGUUGUGUAGGGGUAAAAUCCGUAGAGAUAACUAGGAAUACCAAAAGCGAAGGCAUUCUUCUGGAACACUACUGACGCUGAGGCGCGAAAGCGUGGGGAGCAAACGGGAUUAGAUACCCUAGUAGUCC